rnacentral:rRNA from 1 species
UACGUAGGGUGCAAGCGUUGUCCGGAAUUAUUGGGCGUAAAGAGCUCGUAGGCGGUUUGUCGCGUCUGCUGUGAAAACUCAGGGCUUAACCCUGAGCCUGCAGUGGGUACGGGCAGACUAGAGGUGUGGGUAGGGGGUAGCGGAAUUCCUGGAUGUAGCGGUGAAAUGCGUAGAUAUCAGGAGGAACACCCGUGGCGGAAAGCGGCUCUCUGGGACGG